CGCGGAGAUAGAGCUAUGGUGCGCUCUGGGGUCUCAUAAGCCUUCACGUAGUAGGUUCAAAUCCCGCCUCCGCUACCA
rnacentral:tRNA from 1 species